UUCAGAGGUUGAAGAGUGAGGUUUAUUUUUGUAGAGCCAUUCAACCUGCGAUUGCAUUGCAGCAUUCAGCUGAGAAAGCUUGCAAAGCAAUCCGUGAACAGGGAUGAUAGAAGGCAACCACCGAGGGUAGGGCUGGGUUUGGAGGUUGUAUGUGUGAAUGGUUAGAGCAGAUACUGAAUUCGGUGAAGAAGAGGUGGAUUUGAAGAGACCGAAACUGAAGAUUCUGCGACUUGCAUAUGUUAACUGUGGAGUGGAAAAGCUUGGGAGCAGUUUAGUGUAUGUAAAACUCUCGUGGUUUAUCUUCCACUUGGGUAGGGGAUCCCUUCGUUUGAUGUUGCUGUGCACAUGGUUGCUGUUGUAUCUUGUGUUCAGUUUUGACAUAGAUGAGGCUUACCCAUGUUGAUGAACUGUGUCACACUUGCGUGAAUUGCUCAUGGCUGAGCGGAAGUGGGAAAUAUUUUGUUCCCAGCCCUUGAAACAGGACUUCGAUGAAGCUCUCAGUGGCCAUCACGCAGCAUGAGUCGUAGGACCGAAGAAAAUAGUAGAUUUCGACGUAGUUAUCAACGGUGCCAUUUCCUCACACAAUUCUCGGCUUAGGACCAUCCAUCCGGUUGCUGGACAUAAUGCGUCAUAUUGAUACUUGUGUGUAUGUCCAUCAUGUUGUAAUUCCUGCAUUCAGUUUAUGACGCACGAUUUCCCAGUCUCUUCCAAUCUCCUCGGGGUCUCACGCAUUGUAGUAGUAAACUUCCAAGCUUUUCAUUACUUCUAAUAGCUUAGUCAUCUAGAUUGUUCACUUCUUCAUUUAACUCACUGUUGUUUGCCAGUGCCUCAACAAAAUAGUACGUAAUGUUCAUGAAGACUGGCAUUCUCCCUCCAUUAAACAUGGCCCAGAUUCCCUAGGCAAGUGACUUGAAAAAAUCUUGCAGCGUGAUCCUCCACUUUUAAGCAUGAUAUUCGCGUAUUUCAGUGGUUUUGCUUUUCAAAUGGCAGAGUAAUUUAUAUACAGCAGUGACACCUCUUGUCGACGUGAGUGCAAAGGUUGCGUAAUAUCACACAAGUUUGUCAGUUGUUUUUAUUUUAUCGUAAAAAUUGCCUAUAUUGAUGAUAAUGGUAACCUCUGUGCGACUCCAAGCUCUCAACUCAUUUAGAACCGUGACUUGGUGCGAGUGAUUGUUGUGCAGAACGUUGAAUUCGACUUUUUGGAAUCUUUACAUGGGUUUACGUUUGGAUCGAAGUGAUGCUGAACUUACAGAAUGGCUCUGGCCUUAAAUCAUCUUUUCAAAGGCUGUGGUCAAUUUUGCUUUACCCUCACCAACCAAUCCUGCAGGUCAUGUCUUCGAAAGAAGGGUCGUCAUACUACAUUGUAGAGCCUCACUUGCAUUUGUGAUUCGUGACUGAAUCUUCUAUUUAAUCCUACAACGAGAGUAUUAGCUUCAAGAGGUCUCUAGCUUUUGUCAGGUUGUUGAGUACCAAGAUCUUGUGGCAGAAUAUUCAGUUUUCACCAAUCUCUUAAGUGUCGACCUUCCUACGCUUGUAUCCCUGCAAGCAACACUGGAAAUAUCUCCUCUGUUGCAAACUUGGACGAUGUUUUGGUCCACUUAUCCUGAACUUGUGCAUAGUAGUUUCAGCAUAGAACGAACGGUACACACAUCUUAUGGUCUACCCUCAAAUAAUUAUUUAUAAGGACCAUGUCUCCACUCUUUCAGCUGCAGUAAUAUCUGAUUUUUGUAUAUUCCCUCGUGGAAUUUUUACCUUGGUUUC